UACUCCUCUCAUUUUCAUUACCAAAAAUGGGGGCCAAACGGGGGCUAAUAUUGUUGAAUAUGAUUACCUGGCAUAGUUCAGACGAGUGGGCAUGGAUUCCAAAUCCAAGAUGACUAUGGCCUCUAUAAAAUGGCUUUUGCCCCCCACUUGAAAGUUAAAACUCAGUUGCAUUAGCAUCCACUGACUACUAAACUCUCAGAAAAACAAGCGCUAAACUCCCACUCCAUCCCCACUUCAGCCAUAUAUCUGCAAAUUUCUGAUCUGCAUCUAUUAUUGCACAUUGAAAAGUGCUUAUAAUAUAUAUACACAUAAAUAUGAAGAUGGGCAGUGAAUCAGCAGAAGGAUCAAAGAAAAGAAUGUCAAGCAGAAGUAUUGGAAGGUUUCUCAAAGAACAAAGAGGAAGGCUAUACAUUAUGAGAAGAUGUGUAGUAAUGCUUCUUUGCUGGCAUGAUUAAAUUGAUCAAAGCAAGGAUGAAAAUUAGAGAAAUUUCAAGAAUUAGUGGAGGGUUUUUUUUCUUGGAUUUAUAUUUUUCUUCCGAAUGUAAAUAGCAAUUAGGGAAUUCUCCUUUAAUUUUCUCACAUCAAGGCUCAUUUUUAGUCGUGUUUAUGGAUGGCAAAUGUUCUUCUACUUGGUUACAAUUUCCUACUAUGAAAAUUGUAGCUUUAUUCAUUGAUCUACUACGAGAGUUCAUCAUUUCAUUUCUCUUUUAUUUACUUUCU
rnacentral:lncRNA from 1 species